UCCUGACAUCGGAGGCACAUUCUCCCCAAAACCACCCGCGAAGAAGCUGUCCAGCCCCCAAAGCUGUACUUCUGCAUCGCAGGCGAAGAGGGCGCUCUGGAGCUGAAGCACCGUCACAUUGUGCAAACUACGGAAACUGCAGUGAGCUGCGCUGGCUCGGAUCACGCAGAGGGAGGAGGAGGCAGGCGCGGGCCGCGUGGAGAAUGGCCAAGUCCCGGCCUCGCCCGUGCGCGCCCAGCCGGAGGAUGUGAAAUCUGUCAUCCAGGCCAGGGAUUUGUAGGGAAAAACUGCGACCCUAGCCCGCCUGUGUCGGUCUGUCCCAGCCUGGCUCAGGUCCUGCCCUGGGAGGCACAGCCUGGCAUCCCACAGGGGGCAUAGCUGCCACCCCGAUAGCAGGAAAGACCGAGAACAGAAUUGAUCACAAAGUAGAAAAAACGCUUAACAUUGACUUAAGUCUUCAGUAGCAGAAAAGAAAAUAUAGAUGAUGUAGUUUUACAGCAUAGAGGCAAAGGUCAUUCAUAAUUAAGAUAUUAAAAAAAAACAAGGUCAACAACAGCUUUGAUGAAGUAGACUUACUUUACGCACUGUGAGGAGUUCAGAGGCGAGCGGCUGGCUGAAGGGAAACUUCUGUCUACGGACUAAAAGGCUGAUGUCCAUAACCUGCAAGGAGUUCCUACAAACCAGUGGAAGAGAAACUCAACAGAACAGUUCACAAAGAAGUACAAAUGGCUGACAAGCAGAAAGACUGCUAUACCUUCCAAGUAGGGAAAUAAACAGAAGAACAGUGAAAAACCGUUUUAACUAUAAAACCUCAAAAAUUAAAAAUGCUGUGACACCCAGUUUCAUGAGAUGAUAAUGUAAAAGGAAACUUUCAGAUACUAGCACAGGAGAUACGGUUUGGUGACACUUGUGGAGGGCAAAUGCCCAUUUGUCUUACAACUUUAAAAUCAGCCCCUUUUAUCCUGUAAUUUCAUUUCAAGGAAUUUGUGCCUUAGAAUUAUGUGUGCCACUAGAAUUCGUACACACAAGGACAUCCAUUGAUUGAUUACAACAAGAACUAGAAAUGAAUAUCUGAUGGUAAAAAGAUGGGAAAGUAAUAAAUAGCCACUACCCAUGUGUUAUGGAUUAAAACCUGGUGGUCAGCUUAAUGCCAGCUGGAUUACAUCAGUGUGGUGCUGAGCAUAGAUGGCCCACCUGAGGGACGUUGCCAGCAUAAAUAGAGGUAUGGAACAGCAUAGCUACGUGUUGUGAGUUUUUCUAAGUGUUGCUGUUUAAGCCACUGGUUUUCCUGGAGGAGCUCAUCAUGCUGGCUUCCCCAGUGUGAGUUCAGCCAUUGUCAUCAGAGGAGCUUGAGACCUUUUGGUGAGAGUGGCUGUGGUUCACUUUGAGAGAGCUCAGGUCCUUACAUCGAGCAUCGCUUCCUGGCUCCGGAGAAGACGUGUGCUGCUUGGUCUCCAGGAGAAACUCGUCAUGCUGGCUUCCUGGCAUGUACUUGACUGUUCUUACCUUCAGAGGAGCUCAGGGCCUCUGUGUCACUAAGGAUGGCUGUGGUGCUUUUCAGGGCGGCCCUGGUCUUGUAGUGAGUGUGACUUCUCAGCUCCAGUGUAGAACCCUCAACCUACCAGCACAGCUCCUUCACCCCGCUGGCAUGGACUCUCUGGUUUCCACUGCUGACCUUUGGGCCUUCCCAGCAUGGAUCCGUAAAGCAGACUGGUGUGAGUCCUUGUCAUGGGCUCUGACCUCCAGCUGGGCUCGUGGGAGGCAUUGUCAUGGGCUCUAGGUCUUCAUCUGGACUCAUGCAGGAUAUUGCUGUGGGAUGCCGGCCCUUGGCUGAAUAUUCUGGGUCUUUAGAGUUUUGGACAGAUUUCCUGCACUUUCUUGUGUUAACUCCCAGUGACCACCAUAAAAUAAUAUAAAUUCUG